AGACUUUGAUCUCUUUUCUUUUCAGAUCAUAUAAUAAGAUACCUUUCCAUAUCCUCUAACCCAAUCCAACUUAGACACAAAGGGUGCCAGCCACUUAUAUUAUAGGCUUUCUUGGUAAGCUAAUCCUCAUACUCAGGUUCCCUAGAAGGGGAAACCCAAAAAUUCUCGGAUCAAUAAGAAGUCGUCUUACGUUCUAUCAAUAAACAACCAAAACGACCAGGAGGAUAGAAAGCAGUAGUGGUGCCAUUACCUUCACCUUUUCCUUUAGAAUCUCCACUCAACUCGAUGGGCAGGCUUCCCUCAUUGGAACGAUCCGAUCAAAAAAAUACCACAAAGUUUCCCUAUACGUAAAGCAUUUAAAGACUAUUCCCAAAGGAGUUUUACUCUUUUAUUAGCUUGUC
rnacentral:lncRNA from 1 species